CCUUGUACACACCGCCCGUCACACCACGAGAGUUUGUAACACCCGAAGUCGGUGAGGUAACCUUUCGAGGAGCCAGCCGCCGAAGGUGGGACAGAUGAUUGGGGUG
rnacentral:rRNA from 1 species